UCAUUGCUAGUUAAAUUCUCUAGCGAUACUGCCCGUAUAACGUGGGAGGAAGGUGAGGAUGACGUCAAGUCAGCAUGGCCCUUACGCCUUGGGCUACACACACGCUACAAUGGGUGAUACAGAGGGUUGCAAAGAAGCGAUUCGGAGCUAAUCCCUAAAAUCAUCCCCAGUUCAGAUUGUAGACUGAAACUGUCUACAUGAAGUAGGAGUUGCUAGUAACCGCAGGUCAGCACACUGCGGUGAAUACGUUCUCGGGUCCU
rnacentral:rRNA from 1 species